CGCUGGCGGCGUGCCUAAUACAUGCAAGUCGAACGGUCUUUCUAUGGAAGCUUGCUUCCACUGAGAAGAUAGUGGCGAACGGGUGAGUAACACGUGGGUAACCUGCCCAUAAGAGGGGGAGUAACAUCCGGAAACGGGUGCUAAUACCGCAUAGUUUUCUUGAUCGCAUGAUCGGGAAAGGAAAGACGGCCUUUGUGCUGUCGCUUAUGGAUGGACCCGCGGCGUAUUAGUUAGUUGGUGAGGUAACGGCUCACCAAGACGAUGAUACGUAGCCGACCUGAGAGGGUGAUCGGCCACAUUGGGACUGAGACACGGCCCAAACUCCUACGGGAGGCAGCAGUAGGGAAUCUUCCGCAAUGGACGAAAGUCUGACGGAGCAACGCCGCGUGAGUGAAGAAAAGGUUUUCGGAUCGUAAAACUCUGUUGCCAGAGAAGAACAAGUUGGAGAGUAACUGCUCCAGCCUUGACGGUAUCUGACCAGAAAGCCACGGCUAACUACGUGCCAGCCGCAGC
rnacentral:rRNA from 1 species